GGGGGUAUAGCUCAGUGGUAGAGUAUCUGACUGCAGAACAAGAUGCCUUGGCUCAAACCCAGGUGCCCUCU
rnacentral:tRNA from 1 species